AAGGUGGGGCAGAUACCGGAUAGUUCCUUGAACCGCAUGGUUCAAGGAUGAAAGACGGUUUCGGCUGUCACUUACAGAUGGACCCGCGGCGCAUUAGCUAGUUGGUGGGGUAAUGGCUCACCAAGGCGACGAUGCGUAGCCGACCUGAGAGGGUGAUCGGCCACACUGGGACUGAGACACGGCCCAGACUCCUACGGGAGGCAGCAGUAGGGAAUCUUCCGCAAUGGACGAAAGUCUGACGGAGCAACGCCGCGUGAGUGAUGAAGGUUUUCGGAUCGUAAAGCUCUGUUGUUAGGGAAGAACAAGUGCGAGAGUAACUGCUCGCACCUUGACGGUACCUAACCAGAAAGCCACGGCUAACUACGUGCCAGCAGCCGCGGUAAUACGUAGGUGGCAAGCGUUGUCCGGAAUUAUUGGGCGUAAAGGGCUCGCAGGCGGUUUCUUAAGUCUGAUGUGAAAGCCCCCGGCUCAACCGGGGAGGGUCAUUGGAAACUGGGAAACUUGAGUGCAGAAGAGGAGAGUGGAAUUCCACGUGUAGCGGUGAAAUGCGUAGAGAUGUGGAGGAACACCAGUGGCGAAGGCGACUCUCUGGUCUGUAACUGACGCUGAGGAGCGAAAGCGUGGGGAGCGAACAGGAUUAGAUACCCUGGUAGUCCACGCCGUAAACGAUGAGUGCUAAGUGUUAGGGGGUUUCCGCAUUAAGCACUCCGCCUGGGGAGUACGGUCGCAAGACUGAAACUCAAAGGAAUUGACGGGGGCCCGCACAAGCGGUGGAGCAUGUGGUUUAAUUCGAAGCAACGCGAAGAACCUUACCAGGUCUUGACAUCCUCUGACAACCCUAGAGAUAGGGCUUUCCCUUCGGGGACAGAGUGACAGGUGGUGCAUGGUUGUCGUCAGCUCGUGUCGUGAGAUGUUGGGUUAAGUCCCGCAACGAGCGCAACCCUUGAUCUUAGUUGCCAGCAUUCAGUUGGGCACUCUAAGGUGACUGCCGGUGACAAACCGGAGGAAGGUGGGGAUGACGUCAAAUCAUCAUGCCCCUUAUGACCUGGGCUACACACGUGCUACAAUGGACAGAACAAAGGGCUGCAAGACCGCAAGGUUUAGCCAAUCCCAUAAAUCUGUUCUCAGUUCGGAUCGCAGUCUGCAACUCGACUGCGUGAAGCUGGAAUCGCUAGU
rnacentral:rRNA from 1 species